UUCCCCAAUAGGCAGUUAUUUGCAAUUUCGCGCCAAAUAAGAGAGAGAGAAGAAGAAGAAGGAAAUGGUACUGGUGUGUUUUGUGAUUGAUCUGCGGAGCUUACCUCCUCAGUUGCUCAGAGACGUAAAGCAGUCCUUACUAGAGGUAGCUAAUUUCUACGCCAUUUCGUCGGAAUCUGAGAGUCUGAGAGAUAAGAUUGGGUUGUGCUACGUGUUCAGGAAUCGCAUUUCUUCUUCUGAUGAGCUGAAGAUCGCUUACAGUCCCAGUCCUAGAGGGAACUUCGAUCUACGCGACUUCCACCAUGCUGUCAAUCACUUGCCUACCGAUUCUUUUCUUCCUGAAAUCGACGAUCCCGGGGAUCUAAAACUUUCAAACAUCCUGAGUGAUCAAGUUUUAUAUUCCUGGGGAGUUGAUAAAGAUAUCGUGAGGAAAGUCAUAGUCCUCAGCUCCUGCUUUCCACAAUAUGUAGACUCUCACUUACAAAAAUCUCUCAUGGAUGCGGCCGACAAGUGUGUUUCUGUUGAAUUUCUGUUAUUUGAGCAAAAAUCAGGCCAUCUCACUGAUACACUCCAAAAUGUCAGCAAUUUCCUCAGAUCCAUCUCAGAUCUCGAUAAUUGCUCCCUUCAAACCUAUCUUCCUAAUGUCAGAGUGUUGCAUGGCCUGGUUAAACAAUGGAUAGAGGAUUUAAAGGAUGACAUGGAAAAACCAUUACAAGCUCGUUUUCUCUUUAAGACCAACCUUGUAGGAUCGAUGAAUCAGAUCUCCUGCAACUUGUACAUAUCUGUCAAUAAAAUAGUUGAUGGGUUCAGUCCCUGUCAGACAUGCAGGUGUCAUGGAAUGCUGUUAGAAGAUGGCAUAAGAAACAGGAUACAUGGAUAUUCUUGUCCAGUCACUGGCCAUGGUCUGGAAACAUGCAAUGUGAUAGAAAGCUCAGUGAAGGUUGGAGAAAAAACGCUCCUGUUUCUGCCGUCAUUCCAGAGCUCUAUGAAGUUUCAGCGAAUUGCUUCAAUUGACUUCCAUGUUAUUGAGCGGAUUAGCUUGGGGUCUCUAAGUGAAGGCAGUAUAAUGGGUGAUUCCUAUUUCGUAAUUCCAUCAACUUGCCAUGAGGUAGAAGCUGCUUCAGAUGACAUUGAUCAGUCAGAGUUGAAUGCUCAAGUUUUUCAAGGGCUUUGUAGUGCUCUACAUUCACUGGACCAGGGUUUGGUAUGCUCUUCAAAUUGUAAUAUGGAAACCAUGAGAGAGGUUGCUUUCCACUGUUAUUAUAUUCUUCAACCUUCAGACAAUGGUCCAAUGCUUCUCAGGCGUCUUGCAGGAUCAGAGGAAGUCUCUCGUGUUCCUGACCUCAAUCGAUGUAUUCUUUCUUCAAUAACUAAGGAAAUUCAGGACUCCAUUCAAGCCUCCUUGUCAAAGAUUGAACUAAAAGACUAUGAUCCAAUGCUGCACGAGAGAGGCUUCCAUCAAAAACUAAACAUGCUCGUUAAAGAAAGCUUACAAUUCGGGUCAAUACCUCCUAAAUUUGAAGAGGCACCCUCUGAACCAAAGUUAACCCAACUUGAUUCUUCAGAAGAGAUGGUACAAUCCACUUCAAGACUAGAUGUUGAACUCACAGGAGAGGAAUCGUCAAAGUUCGAUAUGAUUGAAGAAGACAAAACGGGCACGUAUAUUGCAGAAGAAUGGGAGCUGCUGGUUGUCAAUGAAGUUCCAAAGAUAUUUUCUCCAGUUUGUAUAUCCAAACCCAAGUUGGAUCAAUCAGUUCUAUCGCCUUCAAGUAGUAAUAGGCAGUUGGAUGUAAAAACUUCAAGGAUUUUAGAGAGACUGGAGGUGCCAAGACAGUUGAAAACAAAAGCAGUUUCUCCCAUUAACACAGGCAGUGGGAUGAUAGAUACCUGUGUUCCAAUGAAGAAGCCUCUUAUCCCAUCGCAGUGCAUUGAUACUACAGACCAAGGCUCGACUACAAGCCAGUUAAUCAAGCCAAAUUUCCAGAGAUUAAAAAGGAAACAUAAAUGAAACGAAGGCUGCUGCUUUUGUAGAUAAUGGAGUUAUCGUUGCAAAAAUGGUCCAUGAGUACUGUUUGGAUUGGUCCAUACAACUGCUCCACUGCACAACCAUGAUAAUCACGCUCAUGCGGAACUAUCCAAUCCCAAGUUUGGUAGUGGGCGACCAACCCACUAUCCUUUGGCUUUGACUGCAUCUACUUUCAGCUCUCGAUAAGUAAGCGCUAAUUUAUUGAUUAACUGUAAAGCAGAAUUCAUAAAGCAUACAUGGCAAACAUAAAAUAACAGUUGGAAAAGAAAGGAAGAAACGACCAAAGCGGCCAGAAACUGAGAAGCUUGGUACAUGAGACAGAGAGUGGGAUCAUCCUGGUGGGGUGGAAAGGGCAUUCGUUAUCCACUGCUUCUUUCUAGCUGUCAUGUCCGACAAAGAGAGUGGACUUAUUUAUUUAUUUAAAUUAUUAGAAAGCGUUAAAAACAUUUUUGGUUUGGAAUGCAUAUUCCACACGAAAUAAUAGAAUUCCACCAAAAUCCCCUGUACUAGGACAAUAUACUCCGGCCAGAAUACUUAUAGAGCGGAACGACAUUUAAAAUAUUGGUACAAGUCUAAUGGCCUCUAGGCUCAACACUAGUACUGCACACUAACUUGUAUAACAAUUAUUGCCUGCAUAUAUAAAAGAUGGUCUCCUUAUAAA